UUCCAGACUCCUACGGGAGGCAGCAGUCGGGAAUAUUGCGCAAUGGAGGAAACUCUGACGCAGUGACGCCGCGUAUAGGAAGAAGGUUUUCGGAUUGUAAACUAUUGUCGUUAGGGAAGAUAAAAGACUGUACCUAAGGAGGAAGCCCCGGCUAACUACGUGCCAGCAGCCGCGGUAAUACGUAGGGGGCAAGCGUUAUCCGGAUUUACUGGGUGUAAAGGGAGCGUAGACGGCAGUGCAAGUCUGGAGUGAAAGGCGGGGGCUCAACCCCCGGACUGCUCUGGAAACUGUACGGCUGGAGUGCAGGAGAGGUAAGUGGAAUUCCUAGUGUAGCGGUGAAAUGCGUGGAUAUUAGGAGGAACACCAGUGGCGAAGGCGGCUUACUGGACUGUAACUGACGUUGAGGCUCGAAAGCGUGGGGAGCAAACAGGAUUAGAUACCCGCGUA
rnacentral:rRNA from 1 species